rnacentral:tRNA from 1 species
AACAGGGUAGUGUAAAGUGCACAUAGGGUUUUGAUCCCUAAAGAAACUAUUCAAAUGGUUUCUUGUUA